UAGUAACGGCGAGUGAAGCGGGAUGAGCUCAAGCUUAAAAUCUCUGUGCCAGUUUGGCAUGGCGAAUUGUAGUCUAUAGAGGCGUUGUCAGUGCAGCUGUGCGGGGUAAGUUCCUUGGAAGAGGACAGCAUCGAGGGUGAUACUCCCGUUUGUACCUGUGCGGCUUGCGCGUACGACACGUUUUCUUCGAGUCGCGUUGUUUGGGACUGCAGCGCAAAGUAGGUGGUAAAUUCCAUCUAAAGCUAAAUAUUGGUGCGAGACCGAUAGCGAACAAGUACCGUGAGGGAAAGAUGAAAAGAACUUUGAAAAGAGAGUUAAAGAGUACCUGAAACUGCUGAAAGGGAAGCGAAUCGUAUCCAGUGUCUAUAAUCUGCGGCAUAUUUCAUUGGCGGCGGUGCGCGUGCUUUUGCGUCGGAAGCGGCUUUUGUUGCUCUGUGCUUUUGCUGUGCGUGUUGUUGCUGGUGCCCUGUGUUGCGGUGGGACGUCAGAGUCAGUUUGUAUGCUGCGGGAAAUGGCUGCCGAGGAGGUAGGUCGAGAUUUCGGUCUUGGCUGUUAUAUCUUGGUGGUUUGUUGUCGUGGUUGAGACUGAGGUGCCUACAAUGUGCUUUUGAGUGUGCCGGGUUCUCAUUUGGUGGACUGUUUGGAUAGCUUGCUAUGCUUGUGGUUUUUUCAUCGGGUGAUUGAGUCUGGUGGUAACUUAUUGCCGUUC
rnacentral:rRNA from 2 species